UUAUAUCCCUAACCCCUAUACCCAUUUAACCUCUUAGGCCUAUAUACUUGGUUUUAGGUUGGGGCGACCACGGAGUAAAACCAAACCUCCAUGAUGUACGGAACAACCUCCUUAUCUAAGAGCCACAGCUCUAAGAAUUAGCACACUAUCAUAAAAUGACCCAUUAUUGAUCAACGAACCAAGUUACCCUGGGGAUAACAGCGCAAUCCAUUUUAAGAGCCCCUAUCGACAAAUGGGUUUACGACCUCGAUGUUGGAUCAGGAUAUCCCAGUGGUGCAGCAACUACUAAAGGUUCGUUUGUUCAACGAUCAAAAUCCU
rnacentral:rRNA from 1 species